AACGAACGCUGGCGGCAUGCCUAACACAUGCAAGUCGAACGGGAUCCUAGCUUGCUAGGUGAGAGUGGCGGACGGGUGAGUAACACGUGGGAAUCUGCCUUUUGGUUCGGGAUAACCGCGGGAAACUGCGGCUAAUACCGAAUGCCCUCGAGAGAGGAAAGAUUUAUCGCCAGAAGAGGAGCCCGCGUCCGAUUAGGUAGUUGGUGGGGUAAAGGCCUACCAAGCCGACGAUCGGUAGCUGGUCUGAGAGGAUGAUCAGCCACACUGGGACUGAGAUACGGCCCAGACUCCUACGGGAGGCAGCAGUGGGGAAUAUUGGACAAUGGGGGCAACCCUGAUCCAGCAAUGCCGCGUGAGUGAUGAAGGCCUUAGGGUGUAAGCUCUUUGCCAGGGAAGAUGAUGACUG
rnacentral:rRNA from 1 species